AUUUCCCAGGUUAAAUUUGGCCUUUAAUUCGGGAAAAACUUUUAAGAUAGGGGUAACCCGGGUGGGGUGGUUCCGUUGGGAAAAACGGGGGACAUCGUUUGGGCCGGGGAAAUUCUUUGAACAAGUUGUUAUCUUUGUAAACCAUAACCCCCCCAGGGUUUUUUUUAAAAAGGUGGUUUGGGAUUCCAUAAAGGGGGGUCCCCGGGAACUAUUAAAUAAUGCUAAGUUAAGGUUUCCCAAGGCCAAGGUUCAUAGGCCAUUUGAGGGAUUGAUCGGCACAAUGGACUGAGACACGGCCCAUACUCUACGGAGGCAGCAGUAGGGAAUCUUCCACAAUGGGCGAAAGCCUGAUGGAGCAACGCCGCGUGUGUGAUGAAGGGUUUCGGCUCGUAAAACAUUGUUGUAAGAGAAGAAUGACAUUGAGAGUAACUGUUCAAUGUGUGACGGUAUCUUACCAGAAAGGAACGGCUAAAUACGUGCCAGCAGCCGCGGUAAUACGUAUGUUCCAAGCGUUAUCCGGAUUUAUUGGGCGUAAAGCGAGCGCAGACGGUUAUUUAAGUCUGAAGUGAAAGCCUUCAGCUCAACUGAGGAAUUGCUUUGGAAACUGGAUGACUUGAGUGCAGUAGAGGAAAGUGGAACUCCAUGUGUAGCGGUGAAAUGCGUAGAUAUAUGGAAGAACACCAGUGGCGAAGGCGGCUUUCUGGACUGUAACUGACGUUGAGGCUCGAAAGUGUGGGUAGCAAACAGGAUUAGAUACCCUGGUAGUCCACACCGUAAACGAUGAGUGCUAGGUGUUUGAGGGUUUCCGCCCUUAAGUGCCGCAGCUAACGCAUUAAGCACUCCGCCUGGGGAGUACGACCGCAAGGUUGAAACUCAAAGGAAUUGACGGGGACCCGCACAAGCGGUGGAGCAUGUGGUUUAAUUCGAAGCAACGCGAAGAACCUUACCAGGUCUUGACAUCCCUUGACAACUCCAGAGAUGGAGCGUUCCCUUCGGGGACAAGGUGACAGGUGGUGCAUGGUUGUCGUCAGCUCGUGUCGUGAGAUGUUGGGUUAAGUCCCGCAACGAGCGCAACCCUUAUUACUAGUUGCCAGCAUUCAGUUGGGCACUCUAGUGAGACUGCCGGUGACAAACCGGAGGAAGGUGGGGAUGACGUCAAAUCAUCAUGCCCCUUAUGACCUGGGCUACACACGUGCUACAAUGGCGUAUACAACGAGUUGCCAACCCGCGAGGGUGAGCUAAUCUCUUAAAGUACGUCUCAGUUCGGAUUGUAGGCUGCAACUCGCCUACAUGAAGUCGGAAUCGCUAGUAAUCGCGGAUCAGCACGCCGCGGUGAAUACGUUCCCGGGUCUUGUACACACCGCCCGUCACACCAUGAGAGUUUGUAACACCCAAAGCCGGUGGGGUAACCUUCGGGAGCCAGCCGUCUAAGGUGGGACAGAUGAUUAGGGUGAAGUCGUAACAAGUGCCAUGGCA
rnacentral:rRNA from 1 species